UGAUGGGCAGGAGCCACGGAGGGUUUACAGGAAGGAGAGGCUGGGUGUCUGGAAAUGGAGUGGGGUGAGCCCCGAGAUCCGGGGCCGCGGGUAGGCUUUGUGCAGGAGGUGAGCACUGGGCUGCGAGGCUGGUUGUGUUGCCAAGUGGCACCUGUGACAGGGUGUGUGCAGGCUCCGUCCGGGCAGGCUCGCUGGCCUGGCACAGUCAUCUGCAUCUCUGUUGGGUCCCAGGCAUCAGCUAACUGUCCUCUCAGACCUUAGUUGGGGCGCAGGGAGACGGAGGGUCCUCUGGGUCCUGGGUAGAGCUGGCCAGAGCUGCUGGCCGCCUGGAGUGUGCGCCUCCACCUUUGCCCUGGACCCUGGACCGCGUCCCCAAUGGCAUUUGCCAUCCCCCACCCUGCCACGUGCAGAGCCACAAGCCAAAGCAACUUCCCUUCCCUGACACCCCUCAACCCCCCUCCCACUGACUGGACGCACAUCCUGUCCCUGGCCAGAUGGGCAGGCUCGGGGCCUUGAGUCACCGUGGCCUGGGGUCAGACCCAGGCUCAGCCACAGAGGCUGCGGAGGUGGUGGAGCGCCCCGAUUUACCAGCAGAGGCCAUGGGGAGCAGAGUGGCUGCCCGUCCCAGCCCGUGCGCAGGGCCCCAGCUCGGGUGCGCAGAGGCCCCUUGGGGCACUUGGGGUUCUGAGUCCUCCCAGCUCAACUCUGCCCAGGCUGGACCACAGGAGCCGGGGAGCCUCCGAGAGCUCCCGCCCGCCUGCCUUGGGCCUGCUGA